AUUGAGAGCGGGUGUCCAUGGGGUCGGGAGUUCUUCUGGGCUGUUGUUGUUGAGGAUGUUUUGUGUUUGCUUUCUUUUAGCAAUUUCUGGAGCCUAUCUGAGUGAACCUUGUUUCCGGUUUGUGGUGUGUCGAGUGGUUCUUGCCUCUUCCCAUAGCGGUGUGUUGUUGGAGCUGUGGCACGGUUCUGCUGGGCUUGUGGUGGUUCGACCUUGUCUGAUGUCUCUCGUGUUCUGGAGCUCUUUCUUCUGGCGUGCGUCCGGUGUAUCCUAUGUAGUUUUGUUUUCUGCCUGUCUCUUGUCUUUGGCCGGGAUGGAGUGG
rnacentral:lncRNA from 1 species